rnacentral:misc_RNA from 1 species
ACACCUCAAACUCUCACGGCCUGCCGUGAUGAGCUUGGACUUUGGGAGACUUGCCGGCCUGCAGUCGGCUCCCCUCAAAUGGAUCAGCUUUCCGGUGUUUGGUGGCGUCACGGGUGUGAUAAAUAUCUGCGCUUGUGGCUUUCCACCAUGUAACCUUCAGUGAUGGGGGUUCGCUGGGGCUCAUAAAUGUCUCUCCUCAGCGAAGACAGCUUUGUGAACGU